AGUCAUAUGCCUAUCCAUAAAUGGGAUGCUGAGAGUUGCUGCACUCUGUGGGUCCUUUUUUGUUUUCAUCAGCGAGUGACUCCCAAGCGUGUUACGGCUGACCCACCUCUGCUUUCAACUCGUGUAAUCUCUUGGGGUCAUUAAAAGUGAUCAACUAUGGCUGCAACAGUUGCCAGACACAAGCACGUGCACGUCAGCCACGACUGCCACAGUGCACAGUCUAAGGUUGUCGCAAAGCAGUAUACAAGCUCUGAGGUUGUGGAGGACGAUUAUCAUCACAAACAAGAAACAAGAAUCCAGGGAGUGGUACGGAAGAAGAUGGUUGAGAAGUAUGUUCGUGAGGAGUCUAUGAUAAGGGGUCCUCAAUUCCUGACCACACUCCGAUCCCAUACCGUUUGGGAGCACACUCCUGUGAAACUAUACUGUACGGUCGAGGGUUACCCUACCCCACUUGUGAAAUGGUAUAAAGAUGGUGUCAGCAUUGACAUGUCAUCAAUUAAAUACAAUGUGCAGGACAAUGUUGGAAUUCAUACCCUGGAGAUUGCCAAGUGUGAAACUGAUGACACUGCGCAGUACACUGCUGUGGCUGGUAACAUUCAUGGACAGGUCUCUACUCAGGCCUCUAUCAUUGUCAAGAGAAUCAGAGAAGAAGGACAUUCAUCUUCCUAUGCAUUGCUUCCUUACACAAUUCCCAUGUUGCCGGAAAUCAAAUACACCAAGAUCAACAUCACCUUCCUGGAGACUUUUGGCUCGGUCUUUGGAACAGAGGGAGACACAGUCACCUUGGCCGCCACAAUGACCGCUACUCCUAACCUAGCCAAUCUGCAGCCUGAAGCUCAAUGGUUCAGAGACGAUCAUCGGCUGUCAGACUCCAAGUGGGUGAAGAUAGAGUCUGCUAGAGGCAAGACCAAGCUGACCCUGCCUCACCUGAACAAGGAUGAUGAGGGUGUCUACUCACUCCGUAUGGUUACAAAGGGGGGAGAUGCAGUCCACAGUGCAUUUAUUUCCUGUGCAGAUGGUCCUCCCCCAGUGCCUGGAGCUCCAGGUGCCCCUAUGGACAUCAAGAUCCAUGACGCCAACAGAGAUUAUGUCAUCGUGUCCUGGAAGCCUCCCAACACCACCACUGAAGGCCCCAUCAUCGGAUACUUUGUAGAUAGAUGUGAAACUGGAACUGAAAAUUGGGUGCAGUGCAAUGACUCCCCCAUUAAGAUCUGUAAAUAUCCUGUGCCUGGCCUGGUCGAGGGCCACUCCUACUAUUUCCGUGUGCGGGCAAUAAACUCACACGGCAUCAGCAAGCCCUCCAGAAUAUCUGACCCCAUCGCCGCCCUGGACCCCACUGAAUUUGAAAGACUCCAUGCCAUCAAGUUGGGUGGAAAACUUGACGUUGUAAUUUACCACGAUGACGUUGAAGAUGGGAAGAAAGUACCAGGAACCCCCUCCAAGUUGCACGCUUCAGAGACCGACCGAACAUAUGUUGUCCUCAGCUGGAAACCUGCUCCUUAUCAGAGCCAGGCCCCAGUGUGGUACUAUAUUGAGAAGUGCUUGGCCGAGAGCGGUGCGUGGCAGAGGGUAAACACUCAGGUACCCGUGAGAUCUCCUCGCUAUGCCGUGUUCGAUUUGUCUGAGGGAAAACAGUACUUGUUCCGCGUGCUGGCUGCAAACAUGUACGGAAGCAGUGAAGCCUCUGAGCCCACAGAGCCCAUUCAGACUCAAGAGCUGCGCGGGGUCCCCUCCGCUCCUGGUCAGGUGGUUGCCACAAGGGAGACUGAUACAUCUCUUCUUAUCCAAUGGGCUGAACCCAAGGAGCCUAAUAAUCUUAUUGGCUACUACAUCGAUGUGUGUGUAAAAGGCUCUGGGGACUGGGGUUCAGCUAACCACAAACCUCACAAGAACAACAAGUUUGUGGUUCAAGGUUUGACCACUGGUGAGACAUAUGCUUUCCGUGUGCAAGCCAUCAAUGAGCUGGGUCUUAGUGAUGAAUCACAGGAGUCCUCCCCCCUCUCUGUCAAAGCUGCACUCACGACUCCCUCUGCUCCAUAUGACAUUGCUCUGCUGGCCUGUGACGGAGAGUCUAUGGUUCUGAACUGGAAGCACCCAGUCCACUCUGGUGGCUCUCCGGUGGUUGAAUACUACAUUGACAAACACAGGCACGGAGAACACACAUGGAGAGAGAUCAACAUCCCACCAAUCAAAGAGCGGCUGUUCAAGGUUGAACAUCUGAGUGCAGGUGCAGUCUAUGAGUUCAUGGUUUAUGGUGGAAGUCUUGCUGGUCUUGGUGCCCCCUCUGCCCCCAGCAAGGCCUUCCAUUGUGAUGCCUGGACCAUACCCGAGCCAGGUCCAGCCUAUGACAUGACUUUCUGCGAGAUCCGUGAUGACUCUGUGUUGGUGGAGUGGAAGGCUCCCGUCUACACCGGCACCAGCCCGAUCACAGGCUACUUUGUUGACUUUGCAAAGAAAGGCUCAGAUGAAUGGCACUGUUCCAACGAGAGCCACGCUGUCAGUCACCGCUACCACAAGGUGACUGGGCUGGAAGUUGGAGUGUCCUAUGUGUUCAGAGUGCGCGCGGCGAAUGCUGAAGGUGCCGGCAAGCCUUCCUUGGCUUCUAACCCUGUGGUUGCCAAAGCAGUGAAAGGUGCCCAGGAGAUGACCUGCACAGUGGACGAGGAGUCAGGUGACUUCAUCCUGUCAUUUGAAAGUUGUCAAAUUACAGAGAGCUCCCACUUUGUGUGGAAGAAAUUCUACAAGGAAAUCACUGACUUCUCCAAAGGCAUUGUCAUCAAAACAGAGGGCAAUAUCUCUAAGCUUAUUUUCAAACACCCAGACCAGGGGGAUAUGGGUUGCUUCUCCGUUGCUGUAACUAACACUGAUGGUGUUUCUUGCCAGCCAUGAAAUCCAUGCCGAAGAGCUGGAGAAAAUGCUGGCAAAGAGCUAUGGUAUUCGACACCCAGUGAUCCCUCUAAAGACUCAGCUGUCCUACAAGAUUCUGGAGCGCGGCCGCAUGCGCUUCUGGCUGCAGGCUGAGCACAUCUCCUCUGCUGUCACCUAUACGUUCUUAGCUAACAACAAUGAACUCUCACCGACUAAUCCAAAUCAUGCGAGUCAUGACGUUGAGGCUGGCAUCAUUGAGUUUGUGCUGGAUCAUUUCACAGAGGAUAGCGAGGGCACCUUUACUGUUCAGAUCGAGGAUGGCAAAGCCAGAGGACAGUCCUCUCUGGUGCUUAUCGGAGCUGAUUUCAAGGCAGCUCUCGCUGACGCAGAACACCAAAGGAGCGAGUACGUCAGAGUGAAAGACGGCCCCCACUUCAGUGAGUUUUUGUCAGUCCAUGUCGGGGAUGACUGCUCUGUGGCACUCAUCUGCAAGGUGGAUAAUCUGAAGAAGGAAACUGCGCUGCACUGGUUUAAGGAUGCCGUUGAGAUUACCCCUGAAGGGCCAGUUAAUCUGGCAUCUGGAGCCUGCAAGCUUCCUAUUUCCCUGUUCUCCAAGGCUUCCACUGGCAUUUACAAAGCUACCAUCAGCGACGACAGAGGAAAGGAUCAGUCCCAAAUUGAAAUAUCUGGCCAUGCUUUUGAUGAAAUUAUCAACAAGCUUUCUAAACUUGCUGGAUCCUCUGCAACUGAGUUGGCAAUUCACUGCACAGCAACAGGCAUUCAGCUCCAAUGCCACAUGAAAUACUACACAGAGGAGAUGAAAAUCCAUUGGCUGCACGUGGAAAGGAAACUCUCUCACUCUGAGAAGGUGCGUAUUGGAGGUACCCCAGCCAUGGCAACUAUGGAGAUCAUUGAACCCACAGACAAGGAUAAGGGUCUUUACCACAUCCAGAUAAUAGAUACGGAUAAGACCUAUACUCGCACCAUCGACCUCUCUGGACACGCCUACGAUAAAGCUUUUGCGGAAUUCACAACUCUCAAAGAGGAAGCAUAUGCUGAAGCCAACCGUGGCAAAGUGCUGGGCGGUCUGCCUGAUGUUGUUACCAUCAUGGAGAAGAAGACACUGAGUUUGACCUGCACAGUGUGCGGUGACCCCAAACCUCAAGUCACCUGGUUAAAAAAUGGUGCAGAGGUGUAUACCGAUGACCAGUACUUGGUGUCCCUCGAAUCCGGGAAGUUCGCCAGUCUCACCAUCAAGCGUGUAUCACUGGAAGACUGUGGCAGGUAUACUAUGACGGUGCAGAACAAAUAUGGAGGAGAGUCCGUGGAUAUCGUUGUGAGCGCCUACAAGCAUGGAGACACGAUUCCACAGGCCAAACCAACGCUAACACCCAAGUCCAUCAUCCCACCUAAACGUCCUAUUGAGAUCCCAGGUCCCAAGGUUGUCACCCCUGCCCCUUCCCCAGCUCCUUCCCAUGUCUCUUCUCCAGCCGGUGCCAAGUCCCCCACCUCUCCUAAGGGACUGAAGUCUCCCACCCCAGCUCGUAGCAUGAAAUCCCCUACCCCAACAAGAAGAAAGUAAACAACCGAAGCACUUCAAUUCCAAAGAGAGACAAGACAAUGAAAAGUGAUUGAUCUUUUUGCAUGAGACAUGAAAUAUAACUUUAUUUAAAGCUAGAAUCCUUUAUUGAAACAAUCACAUAGCAACACCCCGCCUCUUUUGGUAAAAAGCUAUGGGAUGGCCCUGGUUAUACAGUGUUAAAACAAGCUUUUGUGUUUUGAUAGGAUAUGACAGUUAAACUAAUAUCAUGAGGCAUUUAUAAUUUAUUUUCAUAGAGAAACAGGUAUAUAUAAUCAAUUUACAAGUCCAAAAAUGUAUGUUGCAACUAAGGAUUCCAACGUUAAGACAAGAUGGGGGGGGGGUGUCAUCAAGGUUUACUAAGCUGAAUGUCCCUUCUAAUGAACUUGUCUCUGUCUCACUUUGGGUGCUUUGGUAAAAAUUGACCAGCUUUGAUGGUUAGUUUAUUACAUCUCUGUUUUAAAAGCUGCACUUUCAAUUAGCUGGUGCAAUGUUGAGGUAUUGGCUGUCCCUACGGAUGGAUAACCCCAAAGUGCUGGACCUCCACUUAGCCCACAGCGGCAGGCGCGGCGAUUCUAGUCAUUGUCCCCAAUAAAUCACGUUACCCUUCUCGCCGCCGCAUGUCUCCGCUUGCUUUUGUGCUAAUAAAAAGGAGCAAAAAUCA